ensembl:lncRNA
CGAGGACUGACAUUGGGGCACACCAGGAACAGGAAGCAAGGAAGUAGGAAGCGCUCUGGUCCGCGAGCGGCUAGAGGCCCACGGAGGCCCACGGAGGCCCACGGAGGCCCACGGAGGCCCACGGAGGCCCUAGAGACUGUCCAUCAUGGAUAUUUAACUGCAGUUCUGUGAGUAUCCCAACUUAACCAUGAAGAUGAACUGCAAACUGUAAGUCAUUAAUUUCUCAUUACUCUUGGGCACAUUGAUGUAUUUUGGGUUCCUGGUGAGUUAACCUGUUACCUGAAGGUUGAUCUGAGUAGCAAGGAUGUUUUAUUGGUUCAUGGGUUACUUAGGUGGUUUAUGUUGGUUUUAAUGAUUUGUUAAAAUGGUUGCAGGCUCCAAGUUAUUGUUGUAAGCUGGAGUAAUGGGUUGGGUUCUGAUAUCUUCAGUCUUCUUUCAUUCGACUCUCCUGAGCUCUGCAUCUUCAUCACAUGUGUGUUGCGUUACUGAUGAGGGUGUGGUCUGAGUGAGCAGAGGUGCAUACUGGGAUACAGAGCUGUCUGAAGUCUACAGGUCUGUAGACAUGCCCCCUCAGGGGAAACCGAGUGUUUGAGAAACUGUCUUGAUGUCAGUUACAUGGACUGGAAUGUUCUUAAAGAUGGAGACAGGGAUUCAGAAGGAGAAACACCAUGGGGAGAUGAGGGGGCUCCUCAUCUCAACGACUGAAACACAAUUUCAGUCUGACACAGAGAACCAUGGAACACAUUCAACAGUCCCCUCCAGGCAUCGUGACUCCUCAGGAACAGUUUCAUUUCCAAGAAGGUCUUAUUUGGGGCCAUCCCAUAUGGAUCGUGCUCCUCAAGAGCCCCCCCCCUCCACUGGGUGGUCUUCUGAACAGAUGACCUCCUUCAUGUCCUCAGGCUGAUAAAGCUGCACCGUUUGCAUCUGUGAAGGCCCCUCAUUCAGGAAACCACUGGACUACAAAGACAUGACUUCAGAGACGUUGAAUCAACCUGGGACACAUUUUGGAGACGCCAAGCUUAAUCCAUCACCAAUGUGGGACGCCACUGAAGUGUUGUGU